AUUGAACGCUGGCGGAAUGCUUUACACAUGCAAGUCGAGCGGCAGCACGGGGGCAACCCUGGUGGCGAGCGGCGAACGGGUGAGUAAUACAUCGGAACAUGCCCAGUCGUGGGGGAUAACACUUCGAAAGAAGUGCUAAUACCGCAUACGUCCUGAGGGAGAAAGCGGGGGAUCGCAAGACCUCGCGUGAUUGGAGUGGCCGAUGUCAGAUUAGCUAGUUGGUGGGGUAAAGGCCUACCAAGGCAACGAUCUGUAGCUGGUCUGAGAGGAUGAUCAGCCACACUGGGACUGAGACACGGCCCAGACUCCUACGGGAGGCAGCAGUGGGGAAUUUUGGACAAUGGGGGCAACCCUGAUCCAGCCAUUCCGCGUGAGUGAAGAAGGCCUUCGGGUUGUAAAGCUCUUUCGGCAGGAACGAAACGGUGAGCUCUAACAUAGCUCGCUAAUGACGGUACCUGAAGAAGAAGCACCGGCUAACUACGUG
rnacentral:rRNA from 1 species